rnacentral:rRNA from 1 species
AGAGUUUGAUCCUGGCUCAGGACGAACGCUGGCGGCGCGCCUAACACAUGCAAGUCGAACGGAGUUAUGUUGGCAGAAGUUUUCGGACGGACGCGGAUAUAACUUAGUGGCGAACGGGUGAGUAACACGUGAGCAACCUACCCUUCAGAGGGGGACAACAGUUGGAAACGACUGCUAAUACCGCAUAAGACCACGGUGUGGCAUCACACAGGGGUCAAAGGAGAAAUCCGCUGAAGGAUGGGCUCGCGUCCAAUUAGCUAGAUGGUGAGGUAACGGCCCACCAUGGCGACGAUUGGUAGCCGGACUGAGAGGUUGAUCGGCCACAUUGGGACUGAGACACGGCCCAGACUCCUACGGGAGGCAGCAGUGGGGAAUAUUGCACAAUGGAGGAAACUCUGAUGCAGCGACGCCGCGUGAGGGAAGAAGGUCUUCGGAUUGUAAACCUCUGUUGUCAGGGACGAUGAUGACGGUACCUGACGAGGAAGCCACGGCUAACUACGUGCCAGCAGCCGCGGUAAAACGUAGGUGGCAAGCGUUGUCCGGAAUUACUGGGUGUAAAGGGAGCGCAGGCGGGAGAGCAAGUUGGGAGUGAAAUCUGUGGGCUCAACCCACAAAUUGCUUUCAAAACUGUUUUUCUUGAGUGGUGUAGAGGUAGGCGGAAUUCCCGGUGUAGCGGUGGAAUGCGUAGAUAUCGGGAGGAACACCAGUGGCGAAGGCGGCCUACUGGGCACUAACUGACGCUGAGGCUCGAAAGCAUGGGUAGCAAACAGGAUUAGAUACCCUGGUAGUCCAUGCCGUAAACGAUGAUUACUAGGUGUGGGAGGAUUGACCCCUUCCGUGCCGCAGUUAACACAAUAAGUAAUCCACCUGGGGAGUACGACCGCAAGGUUGAAACUCAA